UACGGGGGGGCAAGCGUUGUUCGGAAUUACUGGGCGUAAAGGGCGCGUAGGCGGUUCGCUAAGUUGGAUGUGAAAACUCUGGGCUUAACCCAGAGCCUGCAUCCAAAACUGGCGAACUGGAGUACUGGAGGGGAAAGCGGAAUCUGGUGUAGCGGUGAAAUGCGUAGAUAUCAGGAGGAACACGGUGGCGAAGGCGCUUCUGGACAGUAACUGACGUGAGGCGCGAAAGCUAGGGGAGCAAACAGG
rnacentral:rRNA from 1 species